GACGAACGCUGGCGGCGUGCUUAACACAUGCAAGUCGCACGGCAAGGCCCCUUUGGGGGUCCUCGCGUGGCGAACGGGGGAGUAACACGUAGGUAACCUGCCCUUGCCUUCGGGAUACCAUCAGGUAACUGGGGCUAAUACCGGCUAGGAAUCCUUGCUGCACGGUGGGGGCUGGCAAGCUUCGGCGGGUGUGGAUGGACUCGCGGCGGAUCUGCUUGUUGGUGGGGUAGUGGCUUACCAAGGCGUUGACGGGUAGCCGGCCCGAGAGGGCGACCGGACACACGGGGACUGAGAUACGGCCCAGAAGCCGACGGGAGGCAGCAGUGGGGAAUAUUGCACAAUGGGCGGAAGCUUGAUGCAGCAACGCCGCGUGCGGGAUUACGGCCUUCGGGUUGUGAGCCGCUUUCAUGAGGGGCGAAGCUGGUGGUGACGGUACCUGCAGAAGAAGCACCGGCUAAUUACGUG
rnacentral:rRNA from 1 species